rnacentral:rRNA from 1 species
GAUGAACGCUGGCGGCGUGCCUAAUACAUGCAAGUCGAGCGAACAGACAAGGAGCUUGCUCCUCUGACGUUAGCGGCGGACGGGUGAGUAACACGUGGAUAACCUACCUAUAAGACUGGGAUAACUUCGGGAAACCGGAGCUAAUACCGGAUAAUGUAUUGAACCGCAUGGUUCAAUAGUGAAAGACGGUUUUGCUGUCACUUAUAGAUGGAUCCGCGCCGCAUUAGCUAGUUGGUAAGGUAACGGCUUACCAAGGCAACGAUGCGUAGCCGACCUGAGAGGGUGAUCGGCCACACUGGAACUGAGACACGGUCCAGACUCCUACGGGAGGCAGCAGUAGGGAAUCUUCCGCAAUGGGCGAAAGCCUGACGGAGCAACGCCGCGUGAGUGAUGAAGGUCUUCGGAUCGUAAAACUCUGUUAUUAGGGAAGAACAAAUGUGUAAGUAACUAUGCACGUCUUGACGGUACCUAAUCAGAAAGCCACGGCUAACUACGUG